rnacentral:rRNA from 1 species
CCGGAGAGAGUAGAGUGGACAGAUGGGAAGGGGUGGCGCACGGCUGAGAGAGGGGAGGGGAGGGGAGGGUAUAGAGCGCGCUGGAUCGACCUUGCGGCGGGGGAGGGGAGGGGAGGGGGCCACCUGCCGCCGAGCCGCCGGCGGGAGGGGAAGAGCAGCCUCAAAUUAAAAUCCGCUUAUAUUUCCUCCUGACUUUACCGACUUUUAACCCAUCUUCUUCCGAGCUUUUUAUGAAGACGAGGCUGCAGCGGGGGAUCAACAGUUUGGAGGAGUUGUUCUUCUAGUUCCGUUUCUUUGUAUAAGGUAGAUAAUUCAGUAGCUCUCCACAGAGGAGCUUGUUUUGUGGUUCGAUUUUCCGUAACCUUAUUCGGAGGCUGAACGCCGCGACCAAUGUCACUCAAUUCUAUAAGUCGAUGUCUACGAUUUGUACUAAAUAAAAGCACCCGUCUUAGUGUCAGGGACGUAGCAACCAGACGUUUCAUAACGGGAGAAUACGGUGGGGGAUCCAGUUGAUAACGUCGACGUAAGUCAAGCCUACCCUUUUGUGAACGUAGUUGCGUACCACUGGUAUGACAAUUUUAUUAACUGACGGUUUGUCCCUUUACAAACUUUCACAACCCACCUGUAGCCGCGUGUGGAACCCACCAAUCUAUGGUAGGGAAUGUAAGACUAUAUGAACGGUCGCCCUCAAACCUAGUACUUCAGGCAGAAACCCUACGAUUAUGGAGUCUAACAUAACCUAGAGUCCUAAAGGUCUCCGGUUAACGUAGGUAACGUAAAGUACGUUCCCCCCUCUAAGACCGUCAACGUAGUCCAGUGUUUAACAAGUAUACCUUGAUGUUAUCCGCUCCCCUCAGAAGACGGGGCUGGUAAUAUAAUUCUUGGGCGGCAAGCAACUCUCGACACGUAAAGGUGGGAGUACCACGAGGUAUAGAAGAAUGCCGUCUCCAAUUGUUAGAACUGAGGCGUCUGAGUGUCGACUGGGUACGUUGUAGAUGACCGAUAAGUUUGAUAGGGAGUCGAAACAAAAAACGUUUGUAGUUGAGAUCUCCGAUAGGUGUAGAACUCAGAUUAUACAGUAGUGGAACGGAUUAAACCGGACGUAAGGAGUCCCUACUACCUUCAGAUAUAUAAGGAGCUUUACUGAACCGAUCACCAAGUUGGUUACACGUCGUCUCAAGCAGUAGAAAUCGAGUUUUACAUAACAGCAGUCUACGACUUUUGGUCGUCAGACUGGUCAGACAUUGGGGAUACCUACAUACAGGUCCCCUUGGUAGACGCAGAUCACUACAAGUUUACGGAAGGUGCUCGUUGUCGGACGGUGAAGGCCGUUAUCGGUCCGGAAGUCCUAGACGACAACUAGCAUACGGUCACUUAAGUAAGUGGUGAUCACCCAAUCUACAAGUUUACAAAGAUUCUUUAAGUCUCCCACCUUUAGUGGUAGUGCUAGAGAAGUCACUGAGCGCAUCGACCCUCGACGGAAAAAACGUACCAACCAACUACCGGGUUUCAGUCUGUCCACGAAGAAGUAGCUAUGGCUAAGGGCGACCGUCAUGAUCUCCUAGUUUAGCUGUGAUACGGAGUGCGGGAGUACGAAACCGGAGACAUGGUCCCCAACCCUUAAGUGAAGACCCAGGUGUUUAGCUACUUCGACUCCGAGCACGACGCAGGAAUCCACAACCUAGUCUUGAACGAUGGAGUGACAAAAGACGGCCGCGACGACUUAAUGGAACAUGUCACUUCGAAUCUCAUACCGCCGUACUAUAGUUCUUAGGUACACAACGUAAUCUUUGGUUCCGUACGACGAACUGUUAGAGAGUACGGCAAGAAACGUCACUUUACCCACGGGUAAAGAGGGGAACACCUGCUAAAGACCACCGAACACAACGUACAAACGACGGAGUUUGUCUUCCACUGGUCCCAUCGGUUAAUGGACACGUCAUACUCAGAUGUCCUCGACCUUGUAGUGGUUGAGCAGUGGGUGAAGGGAGGGUGCCUCACUAAAUGCUCGAAGCCCAAAUAAGAGAACUCCUCCGUUGUAAACCUCUUUAGGAGUGCAGGUCUCGUUAUUCUCGCCGAGUAACAAAUUGAAGGUAAGUCAAAAGCGGAUGAAGUCUUGUGUAUGAUAACCGUAUACCUGCAGCAGUAUCGAGCGACGAGUCCUCGUAACAAUACCUACGCCUCUGCUGACCUUAAGGACAUAUAUGAUAGAAUCUCCAAAUGUCUCAAAGCCUGUACCUCGACCAUUCUCAAGAAGGAUCACGACUUCUACUUCAGUUACAACGUACGAAAGUAGGAAGGGGACCUCCACCAGAACAAAUACCCUGAUUCCUUCCCUUCGAGUCCUAGGAUGUUGUGUUACCGCGUCUGCGACGUUCGUACCCCGACUUAACGAAAUAGCUCCUUUUAUACGAACUCCAAGUCUCCAUACGCAACCUUCCGACUUACUAGUAAACGCAGUACUCGAAUAUACACAUGGAAGAGACCUUGAAAACAGACGUUCGAGGUAAAAACAAAUCCUCUCGGAGUACCUGAUUUAGUGUUCUAUAGUAGUCCCCGGAGGCUGAUUUAGAAAGCUCGCCGUCUACUAAGAAGUACUCAAACAAGUUCACGUUACAUGACUAGAUAACGACCAAAGGUCUCUUACGACACCCGGCUGAGAUUAGCACGUAGCAAAACGUUGAAAAUUGAGUCCAGACACGUGUCCGCCACACUUCUACAUUUAAACCGUACCAGUAGCAACGACAGUUCAAGGGUGCUGGGACAUUAAUAUUUUGACAUGUACAUUAGAGGUUAGUCGAAUUUUGUUGACGACAACAUAAAAUCUUUCGAGCGUUAGGAUUAGGAGUUCAAAAAAAAUGCACCCUUUACAAACAUGAUAAAGACAGGACUGGUUACGGUCACUGAACGUAAUUGUUUAGAAACAUAACACAGUUUCAAUAAACCAAGGGAAAAAGCGAACGU